rnacentral:rRNA from 1 species
GCGUUACUCGGAAUCACUGGGCGUAAAGGGCGCGUAGGCGGAUUAUCAAGUCUCUUGUGAAAUCUAAUGGCUUAACCAUUAAACUGCUUGGGAAACUGAUAGUCUAGAGUGAGGGAGAGGCAGAUGGAAUUGGUGGUGUAGGGGUAAAAUCCGUAGAUAUCACCAAGAAUACCCAUUGCGAAGGCGAUCUGCUGGAACUCAACUGACGCUAAGGCGCGAAAGCGUGGGGAGCAAACAGGAUUAGAUACCCUGGUAGUCCACGCCCUAAACGAUGUACACUAGUUGUUGGGAUGCUAGUCAUCUCAGUAAUGCAGCUAACGCAUUAAGUGUACCGCCUGGGGAGUACGGUCGCAAGAUUAAAACUCAAAGGAAUAGACGGGGACCCGCACAAGCGGUGGAGCAUGUGGUUUAAUUCGAAGAUACGCGAAGAACCUUACCUGGGCUUGAUAUCCUAAGAACCUUAUAGAGAUAUGAGGGUGCUAGCUUGCUAGAACUUAGAGACAGGUGCUGCACGGCUGUCGUCAGCUCGUGUCGUGAGAUGUUGGGUUAAGUCCCGCAACGAGCGCAACCCACGUAUUUAGUUGCUAACGGUUCGGCCGAGCACUCUAAAUAGACUGCCUUCGUAAGGAGGAGGAAGGUGUGGACGACGUCAAGUCAUCAUGGCCCUUAUGCCCAGGGCGACACACGUGCUACAAUGGCAUAUACAAUGAGACGCAAUACCGCGAGGUGGAGCAAAUCUAUAAAAUAUGUCCCAGUUCGGAUUGUUCUCUGCAACUCGAGAGCAUGAAGCCGGAAUCGCUAGUAAUCGUAGAUCAGCCAUGCUACGGUGAAUACGUUCCCGGGUCUUGUACUCACCGCCCGUCACACCAUGGGAGUUGAUUUCACUCGAAGCCGGAAUAC